rnacentral:rRNA from 1 species
AGCGAACGUUAGCGGCGGGCCUAACACAUGCAAGUCGAACGCGAAAGGUCUUCGGACUGAGUAGAGUGGCGCACGGGUGAGUAACACGUAGGUAAUCUACCCUUUGGCGGGGGAUAACGUUCCGAAAGGAGCGCUAAUACCGCAUAAGACCACGGAGUCUCCGGACGCUGUGGGAAAAGGUGGCCUCUUCUUGAAAGCUACCACCGAAGGAUGAGCCUGCGUCCCAUCAGCUAGUUGGUAAGGUAAUGGCUUACCAAGGCGAAGACGGGUAGCUGGUUUGAGAGAAUGAUCAGCCACACUGGCACUGGAACACGGGCCAGACUCCUACGGGAGGCAGCAGUGAGGAAUAUUGGGCAAUGGGCGAAAGCCUGACCCAGCCACGCCGCGUGAGUGAUGGAGGCCCUCGGGUCGUAAAGCUCUGUGGAGAGGGACGAAAACCCUGGUUUCAAAUAGGCUCCAGGCUUGACGGUACCUCUUUAGCAAGCACCGGCUAACUCUGUGCCAGCAGCCG